UGUCUUUUUGUUUAAAUUUAUAAGUCUAAUCUGCCCUAUGAAAAGUAUUUAAAUGGCCGCAGUAUUAUGACUGUGCAAAGGUAGCAUAAUCAAUAGUUUUUUAAUUGAGGACUAGCAUGAAUGAUUCAACAAGAAAUUUAUUUUAUUUAUUUUUAUUUUUUAAUUUAAAAUAUAAGUGAAAAUGCUUAUUUAAUUAUAUUAGACGAGAAGACCCUAUAGAUUUUUAUUAAUAGAAGGGGUUUAAUGUAAGGAGAAUUUUUUAUAAAUCCAUUUUUAUUAAAUUAAUUGGGGUGAUUUAGAAAUUUUUGAAACUUAAUUAUAAAUUUAACCAUAAUUUUUGAAUUUUUUGAUCCUUUAUUAAUGAUAAUUAGAUUAAAUUACCUUAGGGAUAACAGCGUAAUUUUAUUUAGAAGUUCAUAUUUAUAAUAAAGUUUGCGACCUCGAUGUUGAAUUAAGAUUAUUUAUAGGAGCAGAAUAUUAUAGGGUUAGUCUGUUCGACUAUUAAAUUCUUACGUG
rnacentral:rRNA from 1 species